CGUACGGGAAGACUGCCUAUGGGUUGUAAACCUCUUUUUUCAGGGAGGAAUCAAUGACGUGUACCUGAAGAAUAAGCAUCGGCUAACUCCGUGCCAGCAGMCGCGGUAAGACGGAGGAUGCAAGUGUUAKCCGGAAUCACUGGGCGUAAAGCGUCUGUAGGUGGUUUAAUAAGUCAACUGUUAAAUCUUGAGGCUCAACUUCAAAAUCGCAGUCGAAACUAUUAGACUAGAGUAUAGUAGAGGUAAAGGGAAUUKCCAGUGGAKCGGUGAAAUGMGUAGAUGAUUGGAAAGAACACCGAUGGCGAAAGCACUUUACUGGGCUAUUACUAACACUCAGAGACGAAAGCUAGGGUAGCAAAUGGGAUUAGAUACCCCAGUAGUCCUAGCCGUAAACAAUGGAUACUAGAUGUUGAACAGAUCGACCUGUGCAGUAUCWAAGCKAACGCUGUUAAGUAUCCCGYCUGGGAAGUAUG
rnacentral:rRNA from 1 species